UUCCAAAUUCGAUUUUUCAUUUUUGCCCCCUUGCUAAACUUCAUUUUUGCACAUUAUUAUGGCAUUGGUUAGAAAAGCGUUGAGCUUUCGGAGAGGGGGAAGGUACAAUGUACAAGAGGCAAAAGAAAAUAGGUUCCCCACCAGUUCGUACAAACGAAUUGAAACUUUAAAUUCAGAAGAAAAAAAUGUAAAACAAAAUGAACAAACGGUCAGUGUCACGCAAGUUUCAGAAACCGUUCGAGUGCGAAUGCGUAGAGGAGGGCAAUCUGACUCCAGCUUAAAGGUUGCCAGUUUGCUGCGUAAUACGUUCGGCAGCAUUAGACAGAAAAUGCGCUCUUCAAUAAGACGUAGAAAGCGACUUAACAGUGCGCCAAACACUCCAGCAAGCACACUAAGAAGGUCAAUGAGAAUUCAGAAUCGCACACCAAAGGAGCCAAAUGUGGUAGAAUCUCCUCAGUCAGUCAGGUUGAAUAGGUUUCAACCAAAGAGGUGUAACUUCAGCAGUCCUGGUCAACUCCAUAGAGAUAUUGAUGCUGUAUCACAUGGAAUCCAAUCGCUGUCUAAUGUGGGAAAACAGACAAACAAGAUCAUCGAAAGGCAAAAUCGGUAAAGAGGCCAUUAAUCUACGAGAUGAUGUUAUUGUGGCUCGCUCGGUGCAUGAGGAAAAGGGUGUGUCCAGCUGCAGUGUAUGGAAUCUUUACUUAUUGGACUGCUUUUUAAAAAACUGCCAUAUGUUACUUUUAUGUGUUGGCUUGUAGGCUGUUCAGAGCUCCCUAAAUUGUUUAGUAAGGUUUAAAUUGAAUAGUUUAGAAGUAAACCCAAUGGUCCAUCUAAUUCAAUACACCAAUCGGUAGGCCGACUGGGGCAACAAUGUGGCAGAUAAUACUGAGAUAUGAAAGACACCAAAGAAGUGCCUUUCACCCUUACCACACAUGCCUUCAAAUGUCUGGGGAAAGGAUUCUAUUGGCCCUGAGGCCACAAUACUAAAAUAUAUAUUCAAUUUCAUGGACCAGUGUAAAAAUUUGUUGAAAAUUCUUUUUAUCUUUGACCUUUUGGGAUCCAUCAGCGGGGUAGAGUUAGUUGAUAAGUUAUCAGAAAGUCAAUCAAACCACAGUUUAUGACAAAGUUUACCAGGUAUGUAGCAUCCAUGGGUUUUUUUCCCAUUCAAUUCAAUGUACAUGUACAUGUAUUUAGAAUGUGCUUGCUUUAAUUCUCCAUCUUUCACAGUGUCUGGUAGUGGUGGUGUUUCUAUGCAAUGUACCAGUAUUUGAAGUUGCUUUUCUACUCCUUUCCUCAUUCUCUUCCUCCCUCUACAGGUUGCUUGGUCUGCCAGCUUUGUCAUGUUUGCUAUACAAUGUUAGGGAGGUGCAUUUAAUGUACAUGAAUCUUUGUUUUAUGCUGUUAAACUGUCUUAUCUUUGUUUUGUAUACAUUGAUAAGUAAAAAAACACUAAAUUGUUGUAAGUUCCAGAAACAAUAUUGCAUGUGUAUUUUGUAGAUAUAUGUAAAUGAGAUGCCAAUGGCAGUGCCAAAAAAAGAAGCUCAUUAUUUGAUUAAGAAGUUUUCAAAUGUUACUGUCACAUUUAUGAUACUAUCAGCUGGUUGAAGAUAAAAUUCAGUCUUCUUAUGUCAAUGUUCCUUGAAACUCUGUUGAUGUUGAGUCUGAUCGUAUUGCCCACUCAUAUAAUUGCCCAAUUGCAGACAUUCAGACAUGGAAGUCCAAGAUUGGUAUAAGAGUUAUGAUGGUCGAAGGAAGUAUCACUGGAAAUCUCGUGUCGUGUAUGGUUCUCGAGAGGUUCUUAUAUAGAGUGUUACCAUGUGACUUACGGUUUUGGACAAAUUAGAUACAGUACUUAUGUUAUGUCUGUCAAUCCAAAAAACCAAGGUCCAUUUACUUUUGAUAAAAAAACCCUGUGUUUAUAGCGGAUCUGGUCAACCAUUACAGGGAUAGGAGGAACUUCAUAGCCUAGUUAAUGCUCAGAGUUGUUGAGAACAGCACUUUGAGCGGGACAAGACACUUUAAUUGUUUGUAUUGUGUCAGGAUGGAAGUAGUUUCAAUUGUAUGUAAUUUUCUUAGUUUAUUGAGUCAUGUAUGUACAAGUACAUAUUUGUAGUACUCGUUUUAAAAACUUGGCAUUAUCUGUUCAACAGUGCAGUUGGUGAUAUUGUUUCUUGCCCCGAGUUUUAACAAUUUGAAAAGAUUGCGAGCUAUCUGAAGUCAAACAUUUACCACGCAGAUCCACAUUUGAGAUCAGGUAGAAAAUGUCAAGCCGUACAAAGUUUUGUAUCUGCAUUUUGUUGUUGUUUUUCGGAAUACUUUUUUGUUUAGAAUCUCGAGUAUUAUUGCCAAUAUAUUGUAAGUAAUUGCUUAUGAAAUUGUAAGACUACAAAAUGCUUUUAUCAUGUU